GUCUAUCCUCGAUCUGACAUCCAAUAAUUUGAACUAUCUGAAAAAUGAGUAGUGAAAUUAUUUUUGUUGAAAAAGUUUAUCGAUUAAUCACUAAUUGGUCACAUUUAUUUGUCUGUGUCUUAGUAGUGGGUCCACACUCGUUCGCCAGAUUUUAACCUCUCUCUUCUAAACCGAAGCAUAAACAACUCUUAUGUUUAGGCUUAUAGUGGGUGUUGUUUGGCGAGUGCCUCUCCGAUUUUUU
rnacentral:lncRNA from 1 species